rnacentral:tRNA from 1 species
GGCUCUAUAGUUCAAGGGAUAGAACGAGGGUUUCCUAAACCCUAAAUUCGCGUUCGAGUCGCGGUGGAGCUACGA